AUUGAACGCUGGCGGCAUGCUUUACACAUGCAAGUCGAGCGGUAACAGGCCUUCGGGUGCUGACGAGUGGCGAACGGGUGAGUAAUGCAUCGGAACGUACCCAGAGGUGGGGGAUAACGCAGCGAAAGCUGUGCUAAUACCGCAUGUGAUCUGAGGAUGAAAGCGGGGGACCGAGCAGCAAUGUUUGGCCUCGCGCCUUUGGAGCGGCCGAUGUCGGAUUAGCUAGUUGGUGGGGUAAAGGCCUACCAAGGCGACGAUCCGUAGCUGGUCUGAGAGGACGACCAGCCACACUGGGACUGAGACACGGACCAGACUCCUACGGGAGGCAGCAGUGGGGAAUUUUGGACAAUGGGCGCAAGCCUGAUCCAGCAAUGCCGCGUGCGGGAAGAAGGCCUUCGGGUUGUAAACCGCUUUUGGCAGGAACGAAACGGUGUCCGCUAAUACCGGGCGCUAAUGACGGUACCUGCAGAAUAAGCACCGGCUAACUACGUG
rnacentral:rRNA from 1 species